ensembl:snRNA U4 U4 spliceosomal RNA
AUUCUUUCGCAGAGGCAAUAUCAUAGCCUAUGAGGCCUAGCCGAGGCGUGAUCAUUGCUGUUUGAAAACUUUACCCAAUACCCCGCCGAGAUGGCUUGAAAUACAGUCAGCUCUGGCAAUUUUUGACAGCCUCCUAGAAGG